rnacentral:rRNA from 1 species
CCUACGGGUGGCAGCAGUGGGGAAUAUUGGACAAUGGGGGACACCCUGAUCCAGCGACGCCGCGUGAGUGAAGAAGUAUUUCGGUACGUACAGCUCUAUCAGCAGGAAAGACAAUGACGGUCCCUGACUCAGAAGCCCCGGCUAACUACGUGCCAGCAGCCGCGGUACUACGUCGGGGGCAAGCGUUAUCCGGAUUUACUGGGUGUAAUGGGAGCGUAGAGGGGGCGCAAAGACUGGAGUGAAAUGCCGCAGCUGAACUGCGGAACUGCUUUGGAAACUGGCGAACUAGAGUGCGGGAGGGGUAGGCGGAAUUCCUGGUGUAGGAGUGAAAUCCGUAGAUAUUAGAAGGAACACCGAUAGCGUAGGCAGGUUACUGGGACGGUUCUGACACUAAGGCACGAAAGCGUAGGGAGCAAACGGGAUUAGAUACCCGUGUAGUC